rnacentral:rRNA from 1 species
UACAGAGGGUGCGAGCGUUGUCCGGAAUCACUGGGCGUAAAGGGCGCGUAGGCGGCGCGACAAGUCACUUGUGAAAUCUCCGGGCUUAACCCGGAGCGGCCAAGUGAUACUGUAGUGCUAGAGUGCGGAAGGGGCUACUGGAAUUCUCGGUGUAGCGGUGAAAUGCGUAGAUAUCGAGAGGAACACCUGCGGCGAAGGCGGGUAGCUGGGCCGACACUGACGCUGAGGCGCGAAAGCCAGGGGAGCGAACGGG